UACGUAGGGUGCGAGCGUUGUCCGGAAUCACUGGGCGUAAAGGGCGCGUAGGCGGCAGGCCAAGCGUGCGGUGAAAGUCCGGGGCUCAACCCCGGAUCUGCCGUGCGGACUGGUUUGCUAGAGCACUGUAGAGGCGAGUGGAAUUCCGGGUGUAGCGGUGGAAUGCGUAGAGAUCCGGAAGAACACCGGUGGCGAAGGCGGCUCGCUGGGCAGUGGCUGACGCUGAGGCGCGACAGCGUGGGGAGCAAACAGG
rnacentral:rRNA from 1 species